rnacentral:lncRNA from 10 species
UUUAGCAGGGCCUCUUCCCAGCUGCAGAGGUUGCUGAGGCUGCACGGUUGAGAAAGAGCGGCAAGAAGGCAAAGGCAGACACAGGAGGACCACCUCUGACGAUGGCAAAGAAUACAUGUCUGUAUUUAAAUCACCAGCUGACCACUAGGCUAACAAAACAAAGACUUCAGUGGCUAUAUACAACAACAAAUAAAGUCUUUUCAAAAUUAAUUAAGGAAAGAGAACUAAGCAAUCAAACAACAACAAUCACAAAAAGCAGCUGCAAUAAACCCUGGUGGGAGGAAGAUGAUUUCCAGAUGUGCCAUAUCAUAAUAUUCAAAAUGUUCAGCUUUCAACAAAAAAUUAUGAGUCAUGCAAUGAAACGAGAAAGUGUAGCCCAUACACAGGAAAUAAAGAAAUAAUAGAAACAGUUCUUGAGGAAGACAAGACAUUGAACUUACUAAACAGAAUAUAAACCAACUAUUUAAAAUAUACCCAAAGAGCUAAAGGAAACUAUGUACAAAAAACUAAAGGAAAUAAUGAGAAUUAUAUUUCAAAAAAAUAGAGAUUACCAAUGAUGUGAUAGAAAUUGUAAGGGGAACCAAGGAGAAAAUCUAAAGUUGAAAACUACAAUAAUUAAAAUAAUUUUUUUUCAGAGAGAUUCAACAGCAUAUUUGAACAAGUAGAAGAAAGAAUCAGCAAUCUUGAAGAAAGGUCAAUUGAGAUUACUCAGUAUGAGGAGCAGAAAGGAAAAAAAUAAAGAAAAACGAAUGAAGCCUAAGAUACCUGAGGUACACUUUCAAGAGUACCUAGGAGUUUCAGAAGGAGAGGAGAGGAAAGAAAAGGAGAGGAGAGAGGAGAGAGAGAGAGAGAGAGAGAGAAAUAAUAGUUGAAGUAAUAAAGGCCAAAAUUUGCCAAAUUUGAUCAAAGACAUGAAUAUACACAUCCAAGGACCUCAAGUCUCAGUGAAACACUUCAUAAUCAAACUGUUGAAAACCAAAGACAGAAUCCUGAAAGCAGCAGAAGAGAGGUGAUUCAUCACAUACAAGGCAUCCUUAAUAAGAAAUACAGCUGGUUUUUUAUCAGAAACGAAGGAGGCCAGAAGACAGUGGGAUGACUUACUCAAAAUAUUGAAAGAAUAAAAUGGUUAACCAAUACUUUUAUAUCCAGGAAAAAUAUUCUUCAAAAAUGAAAGAGAAAUGAAGACAUUUCCAGAUAAAGAAAAACUGAGAGAGUUCAUUGCUAGUAGACCUGCCCUGCAAGAAGUGUAAAGGAGGUCGUUCAGACUGAAAUGAAAGGACACUAAAAAGAAACUUGAAUCUACAUGGAGAAAUGAAGAACACCAGUAUAGGUAAUCAUGUAAAUAAAUAGAAAAGUCAGUAUAAAGGCAUUUGUGGUUUGUAACUCCUCUUUUUUUCUAUAUGAUUUCAAAAAUAACUACAUAAACAAAUAAUAAUAAAUAUACAUUGAUGGGCACAUGAUGCAUAAAGAUGUAACUGAUGACAGUAACAACAUAAGCAGAUGGGAGAACAGAAUACAGAAGUAAUGUUUGUUAUACUAUUGAAAUUAGUUGGUACUAAUUUGAACUUAUCUAAUUGUUAUAAAUUAAUUGUAAUCCCCAGGCAACCACUAAGAAAAUAACUAAAAAGUAUAUAGUAAAAUAAACGAGAAGGAAAUCAAAAUGGCAUAUGGAAAAUAUUUAUCUAACAUAAAAGAAGGCAGCAAUGAAAUGAAAUUGAGGGACAAAAAAUAUGAGAUAUAGAAAAAAUAGCAAAAUGGCAGGAGUAAGGCCCUCUCCAUCAGCAAUUACAUUAAAUGUAAAUGGUUUAAACUCUACAAUUAAAUGACAGAUUUUUCAGAAUGGAUUAAACAAACAAACCAUGAUCAAACUCUACACUGUCUCCAAGGACAUGAAUUGAAUGAAAGUGAGAGAACAGAAAAAGGCAACACAUGCAAAUAGUAACUGAAAGAGAGUUGAAGUGGCUACACUGAUAUCAGACAAAAUAGACUUUAAGGCAUAAAUUGUCACAAGAGACAAAGAAGGACACUAUAUAAUGAUAAAAGGGUCAAUCCAUCAAGGAUAUAUACAAAUUACAAACAUAUAUCCACCCCAAAAAAGAGACCCAAAAUAUAUAAAGCAAAAACUGACAGAAUUGAAGGAAGAAAUAGACAGCUCUACAUAUUCUAGAUAUUUCAACACCUCACUUUCAAUGACGGAUAGAAAAACUAGAUGAAAGAUAAACAAAGAAAUAGGAGACUUGAACAAGUUUAUAGUGUUAUAACUAUAACACUAUAAUUAUAGUUAUAGUUAUAAACCAACAAGACCUACCACAUAUACAAAACACCCAAGGACAACAAAGUACAUAUUCUUCUCAAGUGCACAUGAAACAUUCUCCAGGUAGAACAUAUGUUAGGUCACAAAACAAGUUUUAAUAAAUUUUAAGAUUGAAAUCAUAAAAUGUAUAUUCUCCAAUCUCAAUGGGAUGAAAUUAGAAAUGAAUAACAGAAGAAAAACUGGAAAUUUCACAAGUAUGUGGAAAUUUAAAAACACACUCUUAAAUGACCAAUGGUUCAAUAAAAAAAUCACAAGGGAAAUUAAAAAAUACUCUGAGAUAAAUGAAAAUAAAAACACAAUAAAAAAUUAUGGGAUGCAGUGAGAGCAGUGUGCAGAUGGAUAUAUAUAUAGCUGUAAAUGCCUACAUUAAAGAAGAAAGAUCUCAAAUAAUCUAACUUUAUACCUUAAGGAAGCAGAAAAAGAAGAGCAAACUAAAUCAAAGCAAGCAGAAGGAGGGAAAUAAUGAAGAUAAGAGCAGAGAUACAUGAAAUGGAGUAGAAACAAUAAAGAGAAUCAAUGAAAUUAAAAGUUGGUUCCUUGAAAAGGUGUUUUAAAAUUGACAAAACUUUAGCUAGAUUACCUAAGCAAAAACAGAGAAGAUUCACAUUACUCAAAAAGCAGAAAUAAAAGUGGAGACAUUACCAACGACCUUACAGAAAUAAAAGAGUAUAAGCAAAUAAUACGAAUAAUUGUACACCA